rnacentral:rRNA from 1 species
UACGGAGGAGGCAAGCGUUAUCCGGAAUUAUUGGGCGUAAAGCGUCCGCAGGUGGCACUUCAAGUCUGUCGUCAAAGACUGGGGCUUAACCCUGGAAAGGCGGUGGAGACUGAAGCGCUAGAGUGUGGUAGGGGUAGAGGGAAUUCCUGGUGUAGCGGUGAAAUGCGUAGAGAUCAGGAAGAACAUCGGUGGCGAAGGCGCUCUGCUGGACCAUAACUGACACUCAGGGACGAAAGCUAGGGGAGCGAAUGGG